AAUCAACGCUGGCGGCGUGCCUAACACAUGCAAGUCGCACGAGAAAGGGUCUUCGGAUCUGAGUAAAGUGGCGCACGGGUGAGUAACACGUGAAUUAUCUACCUUCGAGUGGGGAAUAACUUCGGGAAACCGAGGCUAAUACCGCAUAAUAUCUACGGAUCAAAGCAGUAAUGCGCUUGAAGAGGAGUUCGCGGCAGAUUAGUUAGUUGGCGGGGUAAUGGCCCACCAAGACGAUGAUCUGUAUCCGGCCUGAGAGGGCGCGCGGACACACUGGAACUGAAACACGGUCCAGACUCCUACGGGAGGCGGCAGUGGGGAAUUUUGCGCAAUGGGGGAAACCCUGACGCAGCAACGCCGCGUGGAGGAUGAAGUCUCUUGGGACGUAAACUCCUUUCGAUAGGGAAGAUUAUGACGGUACCUAUAGAAGAAGCCCCGGCUAACUUCGUGCCAGCAGCCGCCGUAA
rnacentral:rRNA from 1 species